UCGGAAUUAUUGGGCGUAAAGGGCGCGUAGGCGGUGAUUUAAGUGAGAUGUGUAAUCCCUGGGCUUAACCUGGGAACUGCAUCUCAGACUGGAUCGCUAGAGUGCUGGAGAGGGUGGUAGAAUUCCACGUGUAGCGGUGAAAUGCGUAGAGAUGUGGAGGAAUACCAGUGGCGAAGGCGGCCACCUGGACAGUAACUGACGCUGAGGCGCGAAAGUGUGGGUAGCAAACAGGAUUAGAUACCCUGGUAGUCCACGCUGUAAACGAUGAACACUUGGUGUGGUGGGAGUUGACCCCUGCCGUGCCGUAGCUAACGCGAUAAGUGUUCCGCCUGGGGGAGUACGGUCGCAAGGCUG
rnacentral:rRNA from 1 species